rnacentral:lncRNA from 1 species
UAAUGUUUGCAUUAAGGGGAGAUAUUAUUACAUAAGAAUAUUGUACUCUUUUUCCUUCACUAGAAUUUUUGUCCCACUGAAUUUUUCCCUAGUAAAGUUUUAACAAGGCAUAUUCUUUGUGUAAUGGACAUCCAAAGGAGAGUGUUAUGAAAUAAUUAUAAGAUGUGGAUGUCCGUUUAUAUUCUCAAGAACGAAAAUACAUGUAUUCUCUCUAGGUUCAUUGGUACAUUGAAUGAACCCAUUUAUGGAUGUACUUAAGGUACUAAAUUCAUGUUUUGGUAUUU